AUCCAGGCUCUCCCUGCAGUUUCUACCCCUGCCAGCAUCCCCUUUCCCAUGCAGUUCUACUUCCCUAGCUUUGAUUUAUUUUUUUUAAAUUUUUUUUUUGAGAUCCAGUAUUUUUUUGGAUGGGAGCCCUGGGUUUCCCUCCUUGUGGCAGAGACAGGGAAGGACGGAUGAAGCAGGGGGGAGCUCACUGGCUUUUGUCUGCCAGCAAGCUGGGAGGCUCCGCUGGUUAUAAAAGGCCCUCGUUAAGUAAUCACGUUUCUCUUGCAUAAGGGCUUGUUUUUGGGAGGUGUUAGCCAAUGGGAGGCUGCAGCUCGCGGGCGGAAAGCAUGUCUAACUCCUGUGACUUUUUUUUUUUUUUUUAAAUAAUGCCUGAUUAUUAAUCUGCUGGAAGUUGUGUAAAACUGUCUCUUUUGAUAAGGGUGAGCGGCGGAGACUCCCCGGCGCUGGUGGUAGCUGGGCCACAGCUGUAAAAAAAAAAAAAGCCUGCGUGGAUUGUUGGUAAAAUGGAUGCCAUAUACAAGCUGAAAAUUUUUGUGAUGUUUCUGUCUCUGGCUACUUUCACAGUCAUGGUGAUACUGAAUGCUGGAAACGCCACUGGGAUAUUCAAAGGUCUGUUCAGGACAACCCCUGGAAACAUCUCGGCAAAGUACAACACUGACUUCACACCAGCUGGCUGGACUUUCCUCAUCUGGAAUGUCAUCUAUGCCUGGCAGCUGGCCUGGCUUCUCUAUGCCUUGUCAGGGAUCUGUCGAAGGAAUGAACUUGGAUGUGUCUACAUAAAGCCAGACUUGCUGCCAAUACCUUUCUAUGUGAUGUGGAUUCUGAAUAAUGGCCUCAAUGUUGGAUGGCUGUUUCUGUGGGACCGAGAAUACCUUCUCCCAGCCCUGGUGUUCCUGGCAGCCCUGACUUUUACCACGUGUGCCGCCCUCUUCAUCUCGCACCGAGCGCUGAGCAUCCAUUCCUCGUGGUUUGUGAAGGGUCACAAAGCUGAGCUCUGGCUCAUCCGCAUCCUAGUUCAGAACGGGCUGGCGCUGUACGCAACGUGGACCACCAUCGCCACUCUGCUCAACUUUGCCAUUGUCUUAAUCUACAAGUGGAAUGUGUCCAACGAGAUGGCGACAACUGUUUCUCUAAGCAUCCUUGCUCUUAUCCUAGUAAUAUGGUUUUGUCUAGAAAACUUCUUUCUUGACAAGUAUGUUCGCUAUAACCUUACAAUCUACCCAGUGGUCAUAAUAGCUCUGACUGGCAGCACAUGCAAGAACGUCUCGUUUUCAUCCCCAACGACGAACGACAUUUUUAUAGUUUUUCUGCUGGGGACAACGUGCUUGAUCUUUGCUGUGCGGCUGGGACUAGUGACGUGGAGACACUGUAAGAGACCACUGGAAGCAUCGGAAACCCCAGACCCAUCAGGCACAGUGGCCUGAGACCUCUGGUAUGUUGUGGCAGACACGUUAAAGGGAGAAAAAAAAAAAAGAGCUGGCCAUCUGCUGGUUCUUCCUUCCAGUGCCUUGCGUUCUUCUCUAACUCUUUCCAUUCUAAAUGUGGGUGGCUUGUGUUUGCUGCCACAUUCCCUCAGAUCAGCUUCUCACUGCCAGCCCCACCUUGAACCCGCGCCCUCCUUCAUUUGGUUUGACUCUGGAUCAGCGCAGGGAAAAAGUCCUUUUCAGCUGAACAGCCCGAUGAUCACCUUUUGUGAUGACUGAGCUCUGCCCGUCCGCUCCUGGGCUGCCACCAGGCACUUGACAGGCUUGCACAGACAGUUGCCCACAUUCUUUUCCUUGGUAGCUUGUUUUUCUUGAAAUGCAGCUCUAAGCAGUCUGUCCCUGGGAGCAGAGGUGGGCAGCAGGAGGUCUGUUGUUCCUUUGGCCAUUCCCAGCUGGCUAUCUGCAAGCCCUGGUGGUGUGAGCAGCUCCCCAGGCAGCAAUUCCUCCUUUCCCUGCUUCUCUCCAUCAUGAUGGGAACAGAUCUCACAGCUCCAGAGAUCUGCCUUUGCAGUGUCAGCUCCAAGGAGGGGAGGAGGAAUGACUGAAUACUAAUCACACAAUUGCAAGCCUUCAAUCUACUGGAAGUAGGUCUAGAAACUGAAGAUGUGUUCACUUUUCAGAAGCCAGUAAGGUUUCUGGGCCUCUGCCCUGGUUGGUUGGUUUUUUCCUGACUUUCUCAGUUAAGUUAAUUGCUGGCCACAUGCCUCCUGCCAGAGGAUGGGUUGUAGCCACUCUGGCAGGAGGUUAGACAUACAGGUGAGGUGACACCUGGUCUGGGGUAAAGCCUGCUGCUUCAAAGGAUGCCUGUUUAAGGAAGGAAAAAAAAAAUUAUUUGAACCAGUAGAGUGAGUUCAUCCUGGAUCAGUGCUUUCUCAUAUGGCUUCACUAUUACUAUAAGGAAGCACAAAAGUGGAUUGACUGAGCUGUCAGACCGCUGCCUCCAUCACCUGUGUCUGCUCAAGGGCUGAUGGUGCCUCACUGGUGUCUGGAAAGAGCUCCUGCAUGGCAGGCACUUUCAAAUGCUGAAAAUCUUGCAAUAUUAUUACAAAGGUGAAUUAUUCUAAAAUAAAGUGUGCCGUUGUUUACA
rnacentral:lncRNA from 1 species